UGGAUUUACUAGGAAGGUGGGACGUUGGAGGGGCGGCCGCAUGGAGUAAGUACUGUCUCUGGCCACCCGGCAGAGCCAGUGACAGUAGCGUCCUGGUAGGCAGGCAGGCGUAUCAGGUUUCAGAGGAUGCGGCUGGGAACGGGAGUAGAGGUGAGGGGACGUUGCAUCUGUCGCGGUGUGUAUCUUUUGGGGGUUCAGCGCCACCAGCGACCUGGGCCUCAUUCAUCGCGCUUACAUUUCUCCACCUCAUUUGAAGAACGAGCUUGGUAGCCCACGGAGCUGAGGUAUAUGAGCUCCCUGAAAGCACAAAGCAGUUAUUUCAAUCUUCAGAUCAUUCAGAGAUUAUGAAGGCACAAACCCUGCCUUCAAUUUGCUUAUAGUCAAGUGGAGCAGACACAAGUCAAUGAUUGCAGUAUAGCCACUUAAGUAAUCUAAAAGAGGUGGGGAGGCCACAGCUCAUGUGAAUGACUUUCUCAGGAGUUAUAAAGUGAUACAGACUUAUCAGCAGGUUGCAGGUGAACAUGGCCUUGAGUACUGCUUUUCUCCAUCAACUUUGUCACGUGCCUGUGGUCCGAGCUCCUUGGGAGGCUAAGGCAGGAGGAUCAUCUGAGCCCAGGAGUUCAAGGCUGCAUUGAGCUAUGAUCACACCACUGUCCUCCAGCCCAAGCAACAGAGCAAGACCCUGUCUCAAAAGAAAAACCAACAACAAAAAACCCACACUAUGUAAGCACUUUCUAUGUUGUAAAUGGUCUUUUGGGCCAUCAACUUGAACACUUGUAUAACAGUUAAUUGUGAACAGUUAAUGAAUGGAAACGCCAUCAUUUACCUGAUGGUUCUUCUAUUGUUGGACAUUUUGUUGUUUCCAAUUUUUCACCAUCAUACAUAACAGUGAGAAGCCCACCUUCAUGUUUAUCACUUUCUC